GUAUUAAUUCAUAUUCUAGAUUAAGUUUCAAAAGAAGCAAUCUGCCCCCAUGUAUAUUUCAUUCUCCCCAUUAUCAGGGAGAACAAUAAUAUUUGGGUUGGUUAAAACCAUCAGUAGAAUUUAAAGACACCAUGUACCAGGAGUGGGGUUUGAACACAAGCCGACAUUUGUCCAUUGGAUCUUAAGUCCAAUGCCUUGACCACUCUUCCUGAUUCU